ACGCUCGACACCUACGGGGGGCAGCAGUGGGGAAUAUUGCACAAUGGGGGAAACCCUGAUGCAGCAACGCCGCGUGAGUGAAGAAGUAUUUCGGUAUGUAAAGCUCUAUCAGCAGGGAAGAUAAUGACGGUACCUGACUAAGAAGCUCCGGCUAAAUACGCGCCUGCAGCCGCGGUAAUCUGAGCGGGCUGGCAAGGC
rnacentral:rRNA from 1 species